GUCUACGGCCAUGCUACCCUGAAUAAGCCUGACCCCAUCUGAUCUCAAAAGCUAAGCAGGAUCGAGACUGGUGAGUACUUGGAUGGGAGACCACCUAGGAAGAUCAGGUGUGGUAGGUG
rnacentral:rRNA from 1 species